GGGUCUAUACCAUUCUAAAAAUAGAAAAAUAUGGUCUGUAAAUGUAUGUGUCAUGUGAUUUAAUUUUUCAAACUCAAAACAAUAUCAGUUGACAGAUACAAAAAUUAAAAGAUCAACAUACAAAAAUAAUGGAGAACAAGUUAGUUUUAGAAGUUUUUAGAUUAGUCAAAUAAAUCAUUUUGUAAGUAAUGUUUUAAUGCAAGAUCCAUAAUCCAACCUUUCAACUGUUAGAUAUGUCCUAGUCAUGACUUGAAAUGAUCUUUAUGAUAGAAUUAUAUGUAGAGAUAGAUGAUAUAAAGUGUCAUUUCCUUAGGUUUUACCUCCCAAAAGCAAGACUGGCCUUACAAGAAGAUUUUGAUUGUGCUGCUAAAAAUGUAAUUGAAAGAUGAGAGAGAUGGAAGGGGGAGGGUGUGCAAAUUUACAAAUAGCAGUUUAAUCUAAAAUCUUUCUGACCCAAAAUGCAAUUAUGUUUAGAACAUCCCUUAGGUAAAAGAGGGACCAAAGAUACCGGAGGGACAGUCAAACUCAUAAAUUGAAAAUAAACUGACAAUGCUAUGGCUAAAAAUAAAACAUUCCUUCUAAAUUGAUUAUUUAUUUGGCUAAGCAGGCUUUCUUUUAGAGUGUACAUGAAACAGAUUAUUUUCAAAUUUUGUGUGAUGCAUUCAAAAAUCUGUCUGAUAAAUGGAAAUAAACAAUUUAUGAGUUUUGUUCCUCCACAGCACUUAUCUGGUUCACCUACAUCAGAAAUACUCAAACAUAAAUAUUUGACAGGGAUGUAAAAAUAAGUUGCCUUAUUAGAAGAUUUAUGACCUAAGAGACCUUAAAAGGACAGCUAAAUUCAUCUGAGGUAUACUUUGACUUAUGGACUUAAUAAACAAAUGUAUGUUGUAAAACUAACUGAUUCUGACAAGCAUAGACAUUUUUGCAAUACAUAAAAUAAUCAAAAUACACAAAUUCAUAAAACACCACUUCAGAAAUGCUGUUAAUAUACAAAUGCUUAAUAUCAAUAAGACUGCUUCAAACAACAAUAAUAUAACUGACAUGGGUUCUUCAUGUACAUGUAUUUUGAUUGAUGAUAAAAAAAAAUGUUACAUUUGACAAUACCUUGAACAUUGUACAUCCCUUAUUAUACACAAAUUAUAAUCAAAUCAUCUUUCUAACUAAACAUACUUACAUAAAAUGCAUGGUUCAAGUCAUAUAUACAAAUACUGUUGUUUUGUACCUAAAUUUACUAUUUAUACAGUAUUUUCUAUAUUUGUUUAUUGAACUUAUCUUAUUUACAUACUGUUUAAAGAAAUAACUAACUUAUAGAAACAAUUUCUAAACUUAUUCAGGAAAUGUUCAGGAAAUAAAUGUGUUCUGAAAUACAACCUGUCUAUGCAAUAUACUAAUUUGAAGGCAGAACAACAGGUUCCAAAAUAAUCGUUAUUCUGUACUUUAUUAAAGUAAAUCAGUUCCAAAAAUUGUUUUUGUGAAUACACUCAACAGAUAGAAAGAGACAAUUACAUAAAUCACAAUAAAAUUUUACCCUUUAUAAUACUAAAAAUAUAUUAAUAUAAUAAUACAUUUACAUGCAAAAAUGUUACGUCAAUUAAUUUCAUCCUUUAUACAACGAAAUAUAAAUCUGUCUGCAGCAUUAUAUUUAUAUUAAUUAAUUCAUUUAAAACCCAUGGAUAUGUUUUUCUUUUUUUUUUCCAACUUUAGAUACUUUAUUUCACUAUAAUAGUUGUUAACAAAGCCCCUUAAUGUUACAACAAUGGCACUAAGGUUCUUCCCUGUAUGGUUAAUUACUAAUAAAACCAGCAGAUUUCAUUGGCAAACUUUUUAUAAUUCUACAUAGUAUUAAGUGUUAGUUACAAUUUAGAGAGUAAUAGCUGUCUACAACAUGUAUACAUUACUUUACUUUACAAUGAAAAAGAAAACGGAACUCUGACAGUCUUUUGUUUAGCUUUUAGUUUCAGAUUAAGAGAUAUGUUUUUCCGUAUAACAAAUAUGUGUAUUUUUAAAAAGACUAGAUUAAUCAUAAAGACAUAUAAAUUAAACAGGAAAAUAUAUUUUGUUAUGACUCUCUUGAAGUAAUUUUGUAUCUCCUUAUUUCAGGACACAAAUGUAAUGUACAACACAACAAAAACAAUUACAAUAGCACGGUGCAAAACAUUUUUCAACUAGACUUUGUGCAAAAAUAAAUACAUUUGACACAUCAAAGCAUUAAAAAUCUGAAUUUUGUGUAACAGAAAAUUGAGAUCUUAAUAAAUGCAUUAUUUUUUUGUAUGCUGAUAUGCAAUUUUUUUUUGAAGUAAUGAUUUUCUGCACAAACAGUUAGCGUUGCACACAUUGAUUGGUUCAUAUUAAUCUUAAUUUGAUAUAUACAUAAAAUUCUUGCACACAAGGUUAUAUACCACCUUUAAGGAGGCUCAUGGGUACAAAAAUUUCAGCAAAAAAUCAAACAUUUGUUUUUUCAAUACAAAUUUUAUUUAUUACACAAUUAGUUAUUACUUUAUGAUGUACAAAAAUCAACCCAAAUAAUCGAUUCGGUUUGGCCCCAGAUGACUUUCAAAAUGGUUAUAUCAUUGAAAAAGCUCCAAAUUAUUUCCCUUUAGUGCAAAAAUGCCAUAUUUUGGCAUUAAAAUUGAAAUAUCUUUUUUAACUCAUAGGUGACCUAUAUUUUUUAUCAUUGUUUUCAAAUUAGCUGUACAUAAACUUAAUAAUUGUAGAAUUUAAGCGAUUUCUGUAAUUUAGUUCUUUUUUUAUUUCGAUAUUAUCUCUAUUUCUCCUAUUAGUGCAACAGAAAAAAAAGGACAUUAACAAAAAUGUAUGCUUCUUUCGGAGGCAGAUUGUGAGCUUGAAUGAAUGGUGACCCCAUUUUUUUAUUUUCAUUUUCUAUUAGGUAUAUGAUAAAGUUCAUUUAUAAAAAUAUAUAGCAAAAUCCUAUAUUGGAAAAAAAUUGAUUUAUACCCGCUAGCCCCCUUAAGUUAUUAAUUAAUCUUUUUGUCAAGACACACCAAUAUAUGAUACAGUGGCAAAAUAAAUGCAUAUUCAGGACUAGAAUAUAAUGAUGUUUCAUGAAUAUGAACCCUGCUCUGUACUAGACGAACACAGUCACACUGAGAAGGAUUUUCAAAGUACUAGUUCAUGAAGUAGCAGCUCAGGGGAUUACAUGUCACCCAAAAAAAAAACUAUAUGGACUCAAUUAUAACCCAUCUUUGCUCUUACAGCUAAAUGCAAUAAAUAGAUUUGGGCUUUUGAAGUGAGUUUCAAGAAAAUUCUAUAUGAAAUGGGCCUUAUAAAUGAAACCAAUGCUAAAUUUUGUCUUUAUUCCUUCCAAAACUUUUUUGUUUAUCCAACUAAUGAUUUCAUCAAAGCUUAGAUAAAUUUCAACAAACAUUAUAUAACUAUAGAGAAAUAUUGAUACAUAUAAAAUUGUCAAAAUCAUGUACACUGAUUGUCUUUUGAGUUAUGAGUGAAUGUGAAUGAUUAUUUCAUGAAAAACUUAAAAUCAGUACACAAAUGAUUAAAUUCAAAAUGCCUCUGUAAAUUAGAUAUAUGUUGCGGAUAAUUAAUUAGCAAAACCCAAUGUGCAUGUAACCUCUAGCAUAUCAAAUAUAUAAUGAUCAGUGAAAAAAUAUAUACUAUACAUGACUUGACUGGAAUUCUACUAGAACUGACCUUUGUCAGACAAUUAUUUAGAAUUCAUAACAUUUCAAGCAUAAAUUUCUAAAGCAAUUUGUUAAAUUAGUAAAUCGAUAAUUUAAUAUUUUUCUUUACCUUGGUUAAAAGGAACAAAUUAUCUCAUCUUUGAACUAUUUGUUUGAUACUUUCUGUAAUUAUAAGAUAGAUAACAGUGCCACAUAUCAGUAGCAUUUGAGAUGUAUUCUUAUUAAUAAU
rnacentral:lncRNA from 1 species